GCGGGGAGGUGCAGGGAAAAAAAGGCACUAUGGGAUGUCAACAGUUUAGAAGGAACCCGGGGAUCGCCACGUAGAUAGGAAAAAUCGAAGAAGGUUAAUUCCGGGAGGCAGCAGCAGCAGGUAUCUUUUUAGUGCUGAAAUGGACACACUAAUUGUGAACCAUGCGGUGAACAAACCUUGCAAGACACAAUGCCAGCUCGAGAUCCAGCCCAGCACGUAACAGCAGCACUGAAGCAGCCCCCACCACUAGGCAAGGGACAGAAAGGAGAUGGUGACCUGCAAGGGGAUGAGAGACCUCUCUUACCAGCAUUUGCUCACAGUUUUGCUUCUGGCAACUAACAUUUCCAUUUUUCUCAAAGCUUCUACAUCUGUGUCAUCAGACAAAGCCCCAUGAGUGGUGGCAGAGCAAACUGUAGCCUUCAUGUUCAAGUUUGAAGAGAAAAAGUUAUUUACAUGUCUAAGUCCCAGAACCAGCUGCUCAGAGGUCACUCUUUGUUGCCCACUGCUAUGAACCUUUUAGGCUUCCGAAAGCUCUAAAAGAAACGGGACAUAUUAUGGGGCAGAAAAGUCUUACUGUUUUAAAUUUGUUUAAAUUCUAUUUCAUUGUAUUAUAUGAUUUUUGUCCUACCAGAAGAACAUGGAAGAUGGGAUGUUUCUGUCAUUAUUUGCAUGAAUGACUAUUUAAAUUGACUGUCAGACCUUGCAGGACAAAUCUUUGGCCCUUCUUAAGAUUGUUUUAAACUGAAGGAGGUUAUCUUUUAAUGGAUUAGGACUUUAGACUAUUUUUAAAGGAAAAUUAUUGAUUGAUGCAAUGACUUUUACUGUUUUGUCACCUUUCCUUCUCAGUAUUUAUGUAUGUUUUUUGUUACAAAUUUAGGUAAAUGUUUAACUAUGUGUUUUAAUGUUUUCCUGUCUUUUUUUUUCCUUUUCUAUUCUAGAAAUGUUUUCCAGAAUCAAACCCUUGAAUUUAGUGACAAUUAGUACAAUUUCCAGACAUAUCAGUGAGAGUUUCUGUACUAAGUGUGGGAAUGUAGAUGUUAAGAGGAAGCACAAAUAAUGACUUUCUUUUUCCAUUCACAGAGGAAGCACUAAGACAUCAAGCUUAUUCAACAGAAAUGAAUAAAUGCAGCCUGGAAAGUUAUUAUUUUUCCAAACUGUGAAAGGAUCUCUGAAAUAAUAAAGAUAACAUAAAACAAAAA